AUGAACGCUGGCGGCGUGCCUCAUACAUGCAAGUCGAGCGAACGGACGAGAAGCUUGCUUCUCUGAUGUUAGCGGCGGACGGGUGAGUAACACGUGGAUAACCUACCUAUAAGACUGGGAUAACUUCGGGAAACCGGAGCUAAUACCGGAUAAUAUUUUGAACCGCAUGGUUCAAAAGUGAAAGACGGUCUUGCUGUCACUUAUAGAUGGAUCCGCGCUGCAUUAGCUAGUUGGUAAGGUAACGGCUUACCAAGGCAACGAUGCAUAGCCGACCUGAGAGGGUGAUCGGCCACACUGGAACUGAGACACGGUCCAGACUCCUACGGGAGGCAGCAGUAGGGAAUCUUCCGCAAUGGGCGAAAGCCUGACGGAGCAACGCCGCGUGAGUGAUGAAGGUCUUCGGAUCGUAAAACUCUGUUAUUAGUGAAGAACAUAUGUGUAAGUAACUGUGCACAUCUUGACGGUACCUAAUCAGAAAGCCACGGCUAACUACGUG
rnacentral:rRNA from 1 species